UUUUCUUGUUUUAGAAAUAAAAUAAAGUCAUAUCCAGAAAUGUGGCCAAAUCUUACAGAUGAAGCAAACUUAAGUUAGAAGAAUGAAACCAGAAACACAGCAAAUGUCAUCAGGACAAAGUGAAACAAAGCAUACAUUUCGAAGUAGACUCAACGAAGAAACCAAAUAAAAGAAAUUGAAACGGUUAGUAGCAGACACAAUAUAAGAACUUGAAAUGUUGACAUCUUAAUUCAUUUAUUCUACUCAAGGCGAAAGAAUAAAACAUAUGGCAUCGAAAAUUAAACAAUAUUAUGUAUUCAUGGCGAUCAGAAAAUAUAAGCAG
rnacentral:misc_RNA from 1 species